rnacentral:rRNA from 1 species
GUAUAUGGCCAUGCCACCCUGAACAUGCCCGAUCUCAUCUGAUCUCGGAAGCUAAGCAGGGUCGGGCCUGGUUAGUACUUGGAUGGGAGACAACUUAGGAAUACCAGGUGCUGUAGGCA